UACGUAGGGUGCAAGCGUUGUCCGGAAUUAUUGGGCGUAAAGAGCUCGUAGGCGGUUUGUCGCGUCUGCUGUGAAAACUCGGGGCUUAACUCCGGGCCUGCAGUGGGUACGGGCAGACUAGAGUGCGGUAGGGGAGACUGGAAUUCCUGGUGUAGCGGUGAAAUGCGCAGAUAUCAGGAGGAACACCGGUGGCGAAGGCGGCAUCCUGGACUGGUCCUGACACUCAGGAGCGAAAGCGUGGGGAGCGAUCCGG
rnacentral:rRNA from 1 species